rnacentral:rRNA from 1 species
GGGGAAUUGUUCGCAAUGGGCGCAAGCCUGACGACGCAACGCCGCGUGGAGGAUGAAGAUCUUCGGGUCGUAAACUCCUUUCGAUCGAGACGAAUGGCCCUUGGGCUAACAUCCUGAGGGAAUGACGGUACCGAGAGAAGAAGCCCCGGCUAACUCCGUGCCAGCAGCCGCGGUAAUACGGAGGGGGCGAGCGUUAUUCGGAAUUAUUGGGCGUAAAGGGCGCGUAGGCGGCUGUACAAGUCAAAGGUGAAAUCCCUCGGCUCAACUGAGGAACUGCCUUUGAAACUGUACGGCUUGAGGCCGGGAGGGGGUAGCGGAAUUCCCAGUGUAGCGGUGAAAUGCGUAGAUAUUGGGAGGAACACCAGUGGCGAAGGCGGCUACCUGGACCGGUUCUGACGCUGAUGCGCGAAAGCGUGGGUAGCAAAC